GGAUUGUGGCUCAGUGGCAGAGUGCUUGCCUCAUGUGUGUGAGGCACUGGGUUCGAUACUCAGCACCA
rnacentral:tRNA from 1 species